GGGAAGAUGCUCUUGGAGGAGGCUUGUGGAGAGCAGAGCUGUAGGUGCUGCUUCCUGACUCAUCCAGGCAAGCACUGACCAAAGGCCCACUUUGCUUCUCCAAAGAGUCCAUUACCUUUACUGAAGGCAGGCUAUGUCAGAUGGAAAACCACAUGAACAGGAAGAGAGUUGUCUUGUGAAAGAACAGAGAGAUCUGCAAUACAACUGCUGUUUGGAAACUUCACCUUCUUACUGAAUUGACUGUCUCCUACAUCCACCCUGAGGAUUGCAACAUCCACAAGCAUUUUCAAGCUACAGCUUUGUGGCCCAGCGAAGGUGCUGAGGACUGAACACAUGGACUCACACAUCAGAAGUAAGUAAGCUCUUCCAUCUACCAGCAAGCUUCAGGUUUUUCAUCCAUAUCUCAGCUCAUGUGAUGCUCUUUGGGAAAGUGUACACAUUAAGCAUGUGAAGAUAGACACUCUGAUAUCAGAUGACCACAGGGCUCAGAAGACCCUCCAGAGGAUUUCUAGGAUCUUCUGUCCACAAGGAAUCAAUUACAGACUUCUACUUGCAGAACAAGCAAGGACUGCUGAUUAGGAAAAAUCAUACUCCCAAGGGAAGAGUUGAGCUGGAGGAAAGAGAUGAGAUGGGAAACCACUCUGCCAUGAAGGACCCGGGCUCUUCCAUCUCCAGGCAGCCCAUCAUGGUUUGUCUUAAUGGGGCUCUUGGUGCAACUUGGAUCCUCACACUUACUGGCAAGUUCUUUGCCAACUGAGCCAUUCCCCCAACUCGGUGUUGUCUUUUCUAUACAUCCUCAAACUGCUAUAGACAAAAGAGAAUUGAGACAUUUUCUCUUCCUGAAUCUGCGCAAAACUAUGAAGAUACAAUUUCCCUUUCCAGUGUCAGUCU